rnacentral:rRNA from 1 species
AUUGAACGCUGGCGGCAGGCCUAACACAUGCAAGUCGAGCGAGCGGCGGACGGGUGAGUAAUGUCUGGGAAACUGCCUGCUGUAGGGGGAUAACUACUGGAAACGGUAUCUCAUACCGCAUACCCUCAGAUGUGCCCAUAUGGGAGUAGCUAGGAGGUGGGGUAACGGCUCACCUCGGCGACGCUCCCUAGCUGGUCUGAGAGGAUGACCAGCCACACUGGAACUGAGACACGGUCCAGACUCCUACGGGAGGCAGCAGUGGGGAAUAUUGCACAAUGGGCGCAAGCCUGAUGCAGCCAUGCCGCGUGUGUGAAGAAGGCCUUCGGGUUGUAAAGCACUUUCAGCGGGGAGGCGUUACCCGCAGAAGAAGCACCGGCUAACUCCGUGCCAGCAGCCGCGGUAAUUC